CAGAUAUUCCCUUCGUCCGAAAAUACUUGUCAUGGAAAUGGAUGUAUAUAUAUGUGUAUUUUAGUUAUAGAUACAUUUAUUUUUAUAUAUUUGUGCGACAAGUAAUUCUGAACGGAGGAACUACUUG
rnacentral:pre_miRNA from 2 species